UACGGAGGGUGCAAGCGUUAUCCGGAUUUACUGGGUUUAAAGGGUGCGUAGGUGGGCGAGAAAGUCAGUGGUGAAAUCUCCGGGCUUAACCCGGAAACUGCCAUUGAUACUAUUGGUCUUGAAUACUUUGGAGGUAAGCGGAAUAUGUCAUGUAGCGGUGAAAUGCUUAGAUAUGACAUAGAACACCAAUUGCGCAGGCAGCUUACUACACAGUAAUUGACACUGAGGCACGAAAGCGUGGGGAUCAAACAGG
rnacentral:rRNA from 1 species